rnacentral:lncRNA from 1 species
ACUGCGCCCUUGUUUGGACAAGACGAGGAGGCGCACUCAGAGUCAGAGACCCCGGGGCAGAGACAGGGGCAAGAAGAAGGGGCCACCGAGACCCCAAGAGAGUCAGGGAGACAGACGCACCAAACGACCGACACAACCAGGGACAGAUAUCCUUCGAGUUGGAUUUCGACUGGGUUCUGCCAGUGGGAUGUAUCCAUGCGAGAUUCUGGAACUAACAUCAGAGAGAGUCCAAGCUUCUAACUUUUAUCAGCGGCAGUGACAAUAGUCAAGCAGCAUUGAUGACAAACGGCAAGAGUUUAGAAAGUACCAGUGACGUGCCUGAUAGAAUCUCACCACAAGAUGGAAGCCAACUCGUCAGAAGCCUGGAAAGCCCACCCAGCGUGGGACCUCUGUGGGUCCAGGAUCUUGGAAUGGUAUCCCAUGGUUCAAUCUUCUGGAUUCAACCACAUAAAUUUACCCCACCCAUGUCGUGGACCCAAGCUUCCUACCAUGUAUACUUAGCUUAAAUGCAAGAUAGUACUAUUUUGUUCAUCUUGAUUGGAGUGAGAAAUGAAUAGGUCCAUGCACAUAUAUUUCUUUUACCACAACAAGAUGAUGAAGAAAUAAAUCCAUAAUAUCGAUACUUUUGUAUAAGUUGUGUUUACAGUUGCGGUAAGAAAUUUUAUAAUUGUUGAUUUGCUUUAUAUAAUUUCUGCUUGCUUUUUAUGAUAUUUAAAACAAAAUCUAAGCAACAAAUUUUAUGUCUGAUUAGAUUUACAGAAGCUGCUUAAGUGCUUAGGGAUAAUUUGUUCAUCAUAUUUGUAAGUCUCCCUUGUUAGGUGUUUGAAGUGUUUGAAUUGGCUAAAUUAAAUUUGUAAUUGUAGUUUGAAAUAUCUAAAGGAAUUUUCUUAAUUAAGUGUUUAAAUGAUGUUAAAAGUUUGUGGGAAUUUAAUCUAUCAAAUUUAUGAGUUAAUUGAAUAUGAAUCAAUGAACAAGUAAAUGUGAUCUUGCUUUUAUAUAAAAACUACUAAGUUCAUAAAUAAAAUACAAAGAUCCAUAAGUUG